AUUCACUCCCCCCGCCGUGCCUCUUGAAUUCAAAGAGGAGGUCGAUUCGGCCUGGUCGGCGGCGGCGCAUCCCCCCUUCAAGGUCGAUGGAUUUCGUCGGUGGCCAUUUUUCUCCCGAUCUCGGCAAGAGGCUGCCGCCCAGGAUUAUUUGUUGGAUGCUGCCAUGGAGUCGCCUGGCAUGGAUUUGUCUCGUUCGCAAACUGCAUUUGGUUUUCUCCAGCCUGGAUCUAGUGCGGCGCCGAAUUUGACGUGGCCAGUCCAACGGCGAGCUUCGACGGAGCUACAAGAUUGGGGUCUAUAGGUCAAGAAUCGUUCUGGCCAUCUCUGCUCGUCUCUGUCAACAGUCUGCCGGAGGGUGGUGCUGCUUUAUUUGGUGCAAAGGCAAGAUGCUCACCAUCAAUCGAUGUCAUAUCUGAGUCAAUGGAACGCCUUCAGCUUGAAUCAAAGUUUGUGCAGGUCCCCCCCAAGCUAAUUUUAACAAAUGUAUUGAAGUCCCUUGGUAUUAAUGACGCAGAGUUUACCAAAUUAGAGCUCGGUGAUUGUUUCCAAGUACAAGUCCAGUUCCAUUCAAGAUUGCCUUCUGCUCGGCAGCCGGCAGUUAGGGACCCUCGGAUAAAAGAUCUGCAUCUGGCUGCCGCGCGAGGGGGGAGGGGGGACUGACCUGGAUCUGCAGCUGGAGUCAUAGCUGCACCGCAGGACCAAGCGAGAGUCGACGACUGAUUCGAGAUCCAAUCGAACCUCGCUGGCGCAAACUGGUUCGUUCCAGCAUGAGGAACCCAUGGCGCGCCAUUGCCGCCGCCGACUCCGGAGCCACAAGCAUACUCUACCGCGGCUCUCGAUGAGGGCGGCUCCAGCACCUGUGAGCCGGACGGCGAUGGACGAGAUCCGGCAACCUCGCCACCCUCCGUGCCGCCGCUCAUCUUCCUACGCCCCGACCGCCGGUGGCAAUGGCGCCGCUUUGGUCUGCAGCCAAGCCGGGGGAGGGGUGUGGGGACGCGGGACGUAUCCUGGAACCCAGGCCAAUAUUUUAAGUACCGUAGACCAUUGUAUAUUCUAUGUAUUCUUGCAGUAUAUUGCUCAACCUCGUCCUGUUCCUGGCAUUGUGUGUAAAUGCAACAUCGAGGUCCGUGUGAUAGUGUA